UUGUCCUACGGGGCGCAGCAGUGGGGAAUAUUGCACAAUGGGGGAAACCCUGAUGCAGCGACGCCGCGUGAGUGAAGAAGUAUUUCGGUAUGUAAAGCUCUAUCAGCAGGGAAGAAAAAAGACGGUACCUGAGUAAGAAGCCCCGGCUAACUACGUGCCAGCAGCCGCGGUAAUACGUAGGGGGCAAGCGUUAUCCGGAUUUACUGGGUGUAAAGGGAGCGUAGACGGCAGUGCAAGUCUGAAGUGAAAGCCCCGGGCUUAACCCGGGAACUGCUUUGGAAACUGUACGGCUGGAGU
rnacentral:rRNA from 1 species